GAAAUGCGAUAAGUAAUGUGAAUUGCAUAAUUCAGUGAAUCAUCGAAUCUUUGAACGCACCUUGCGCUCCUUGGUAUUCCUUGGAGCAUGCCUGUUUGAGUAUCAUGAAAUCUUCAAAGUAAAUCUUUUGUUAACUCAAUUGGUUUCUACUUUGGUAUUGGAGGUCUUUGCAGCUUCACACCUGCUCCUCUUUGUUCAUUAGCUGGAUCUCAGUGUUAUGCUUGGUUCCACUCGGCGUGAUAAGUUAUCUAUCGCUGAGGACACUGUAAAAGGUGGCCAAGGUAAAUGCAGAUGAACCGCUUCUAAUAGUCCAUUGACUUGGACAAUACUUUUAUGAUCUGAUCUCAAAUCAGGUAGGACUACCCACUGAACUUAAGC
rnacentral:misc_RNA from 1 species